GUGCAGCAGGCGAGAAUAGUCUACAAUGGACGAAAGUCUGAUAGUGCGACGCCGUGUGUGCGAUUAAUUCCUUCGGGAUGUAAAGCACUUUUCUAUGAGAUAAAAGCUCUUUAGGUUAAUAGCUUAUUGAGACGGAUAUUAUUAUAGGAAUAAGCUCCGGCUAACUCCGUGCCAGCAGCCGCGGUAAUACGGAAGGAGCGAGCGUUGUCCGGAUUUACUAGGCGUAAAGGGCUAGUAGGCGACUAAUUAAGUUAUAUGUUAAAUCCCACGGCUCAACUGUGGUCCUGCAUGUAAUACUGGUUGGAUAGAGUACUGUAGAGGAAGGCAGAAUUCCUGGAGUAGCGGUGGAAUGCGCAGAUAUCAGGAAGAAUACCAAAAGCGAAGGCAGCCUUCUGGGCAGUUACUGACGCUGAAUAGCGAAGGUGUGGGUAGCGAACAGGAUUAGAUA
rnacentral:rRNA from 1 species